rnacentral:misc_RNA from 1 species
UUUCCGUAGGUGAACCUGCGGAGGGAUCAUUACUGAGUUAAGACCCUCUGGGUCCCACCUCACACCCGUGUUUAUUGUACCUUGUUGCUUCGGUGAGCCCGCCUCACGGGCGCCGGCGGGCAGCUGCCCCCGAGCCCACGCUUUCCUAUGACACCCUUGAAGUCUGUCUAACAUUUGCAGUCAAACCGUCAACUAAAGAAGUUAAAACUUUCAACAACGGAAAUAUUGGUUCCGGCAUCGAUGAACAACGCAGCAACUCCAAAGAGCAAACAUCUGAAC